CUGCGCAUGUCUCCAGGCCUUAAUUUCCCCGACUGCUCAUCUUCUCCUAUUCUUCUGCCAUUCCCGGUCUCCCCACCACAAACGCACAUGAAACGGAUGGGGGAUGUGAGCAAUCAUCCACCCCUCCGUUUUACAAUCUCCCCGUCCCUCCAAUACCUUCGCACUAUACAUAGUACUUCGCACCAAGGCACUUCCUCCCGCACCGCACCAAGGCCCUUCCUGAUUGUAAGCACGUUCGAGCUCUUAGCUAUGGCGCUCGCGUUGGAUUCCCAUCAACCUUUUUCCCGUGGAAGGAGUGAUCGAUGCCGCAAUCCCGGUGCAGCCAAAUCAGUCUGUGCGCGCGCCGUUGUUCUGCUCCGGGCCCUCCUUCCGCCGGCGGCCUCGGACGAGCUGCUCUGUUCCGGUCCUUCCUCGCCAGAUGGCGUCCUCAGAUGCACCAGACGCGGCCAUCGCCGUCGCGGCCCCGAUUCCAGUCGGACGCUCUGCUCCGGGCCUCUCACGCCGGACGCUCCGGACGCGCCUGAUGCGGCCAUCCCGCGCAACUGAGGAAGCCUGUGCGCAGGCGUUGCCCUGGUACGGCCCCUCCUCGCACAGACAGCCACGAACCAUCUGGGGCAAAAGAAGCCGGCAGCGGCGGCAAGCAAUCCCAUCAGGCCGCGGUACACAAGUUUAAUUCAUCCAUCGUCUCCCAUGCUAUUUUCUAGUCGAAUCUGGUAGAUUUUCUUCUCCCUCCCGAUCUUCUCUAUUUGCAUCACUACUAUCAAUAGCUGGGUGUCCAAACUCCUAUCCAGAUUUGUUAAUGUUUGCUCUGGGAAGUCAAACCGAGUUGAAGCCUCCUUCGUCGAUGCUCAUCUCCGUCCAGUGUCUAGAUGGGAAAAAUUGGAGACCUGGCUGCCACCACCGCACCUACAGGACGCCGGCCUGCUUGGGAAUCUGAAAAACUCUAUGGCACCAAGUGUGUUGGGCGGACAAAACUGGAGCCCUCGCCGCCGCCACGCGGCCACCUGAUCGGCAAAUCCGAAUCACUCUACAUGUACACCUUCAUCUUUAUUAGGUGUUCAACCAUCUUGCAUAAUUUGGUAUUCUUAUUGACUCUUGCUUCCUACCCGUUCAAUUUGUUGAUGUACCAGAUUCAUGGUGUUUGGAUUUAAUUGGAAGAAGUGGUAAUUGUCUUUCAAUCUGCAAUCAAUUGGAUACAACAAUGAAGAACACUUGAUUUUUUUUUGCAACAGAUUAUAGGCUGCCGCACCCAUGCAUAUGUUUAUCUAACUCAAACUAGACGAUGAAUGAUACCUGAGCCAGUCAUGUCGCUCAUCUUGAUCUGCCAUCUCCAUUUUCUCAGUCAGGUUGGAUGUAGAUCUACAUAACUAGAUUUUCGUGAAAUUUUACUCUUCGUCAUGUGCCAUUUGCAGGAAGGCCAUUGCUGCAGAUGGAUCCAAAUAAAUUUCCUGUCAUGUUCUCCACAUUUUCGACUGAUGCUUUCAUGUCAAAUGGCGCUGGAGCAUAUCAAUGAUUUCCUUUUGUUCGGUCAUAUGAAUUCUUAUGAUGAGAUUGGAUUCUUUAUAGACAGGAAUCACCAACACACAUAGUUGAAUGAAAGUAUCACGUAUGUGCUACUACAUUUUUUAAUAGAUUAUGUCCGAUGGGGCUAGCGCAAACUGAUUCUUAUUAUGUAGAAUCAAUAUAUUGCUAUAUCAUGAUUGGUCUUUAUGCCCAGCGAAUAUUGAAUCCGCCUAAAUUAAUCUUAGGAUUUAGUAUAUGGUUCACGAUCCAAGUAGAGAUUACACAAGAAGUCAAGAACUGGUAUUUUUCAGUCGAACUUUUUUCCUCAGUUUGUGAAGAUCUGCAACAUUUAACAUGUGUUUUUCUUAGUUA